AAGGCUCCGCUGACCCGCGCACGGAGCGAGCGAAGGAGGGAGGGAGGGAGGGAGAGAGAGGGGGGGGGGCACGAGCGACGCUGGCGCGGGGCGGAGGGGGCGGGGCUCUCACAUCCGGGUACUCCGCUGAGCCGGGGGGCGGGACCUGGCAGUGACGUCAUCUGCGGGGGGAGGUGGCAGCGCAAAAUGGCGGCGCGGUGGUUGUGGAGUUGUUGGGGGCGGAAGGGAUUUUUUUUUUUUUUUUUGAGAUCUUUGAGAUCUUUGUCGCUGUAACUUUAACCUUGAAACCUCUAAGCUCCUGAAGCCCUAAUCUACAUUGCCCAGCGCCAAAUCCAGGCGUCUCUUGAACACCUCCAGGGUUAGUGAAUCCACCACCUCCCUCAGCAGUCCAUUUCGAUGUCUGACCACCAGACCAGUGAAGAAACUUUUUUUUUUUUUUUUCCCCCUACUGUCUAAUCCCAAUCUCCCCUGUCUCAUUUUGGGGCUGUUUUCUCAGAUCCUCUCACUGCAGGCAGGGUAGAAGAGGCCGGACUCCAGAAGUUGAACCACGAGGUUCCCCCUUCCUCCAGGCUAAACUACCCCAGGUCCCUCAGCCGCUCCUCACAAGUGUAUGGGGAGAAGGCGAUUUUUGGGGCUGCCAGAAGUCUCCUUUCAGUAGACCUUUUGUGUUGAAUGUUAACUACAAAACACAGCUGGUUUUUUUUGUUUGUUUGUUUGUUUGUAUUUGCUACUAAACCAGGACUGAUUCAGGGUGAUGACAUACACUUUUUUAUUUUAUUUUACUUUUCCCCACCUUGUAUGAUUUGGCAGAUGAAUAUCCGAUCAUUUUCAGUGCUGGGCCUGGCUAACUGUGACUGUGGAACCACAGUGAAAGGCUUAAAAUGCCUUGAAAAGGACUCUAAGGAUGCAGAUUUCCUGACCUGUACAGCAGAUUUGAAAGAAAUCAAAGGGAUCCUGUCCUUAUUUUCUCACACGUAUUUGUGAGAGCAUGUAUAAAGUACCAAGACUUGGGAGGAAAGGGAGAUGAUACUUUUCAGAUCCAGUAAGACACAGCUGAAAAAACUGAUCUAAUGAAAGACCAGAAGAAUGCUGUGGGGCACAGAAGCUUUGUGAAGCUGUGGCUAAUGAGCUUUUGAAUCUUUGGUAAUCUUGGGUGGAAGUUGUCAGGCGUGGGGCACUCCAGCAUGUUUAGAGCUCCUACACAUUUCCAAAUUGAGAACUGCGAGAGAGUGUCAUCUUAGCAAGAGAAAAGCUCCCUCCUGUGGAAGAGAUGAACCUCUGCUGUGACAAGGAGCAACCGUAAGGGCGUCACACCGUGAUUUUAAAUUAGUGGGAAAAAGGAUUACAAGCACUGUGUGACUUGGCAAAUACUGGAAUGCAAGACCCUACUCCCUGUUACUUUUUUCUCGAAGUGAAUUUUUCAUAUUUAGUAUGACUUAUUUCUGUAAUUGUAUCUCAGUUAUAACUGUUUGGUGUACGUAAGUAAAACUGGAUUGUUUAAAUAGUAUAAUGUGACCACAGUGGACUCUAUAGUGUUAAAGGGAUCUAAAGCAACUUAUUUUUACAGUUUUUUGCUUUCUGUAGCUCUUUGCUGAAAAAGCUUAGUAUUUUGGACAUUUCUCUGAAUUCGAGUUUGUAGAGCUUACUUUAAAAAAAAAUCUUUUUCCUCUUUUUAAAAAGUUUGAUAAUCUGUAUAUCUUGGAGAUUUGUAUUAAAAUUAUUUUGAAUCUUGC